UAGUGUGCGCACUGGCCCGAACGUGUAUCAUCGUAUUAUAUUAUUCCGCAUAUCUUUAGUUUGUGACCUAACUGUUAAUAUCCCUUUCCAUGCUUCAAUUUAAAGCUCAUCGUUCGUUUGGAAUAACAAGAAAAAGUUCGAGGUUCAUCGUUUUAUACUUUCACCUUUUCCACAUAAAAGCUAUAGAAUUUCAUCAAAAUGGGGACGCGAUGUUUUUAGUACGAAUCAUCUCCCAUGAAAAAUCUAUUUUAUUACACCUUCGCGUACUGUGAAGUUGGCUAAAGUAAAUUUCCAUGGGCUGGCUGUAGUGCAAUUAGAUUGCGAAGUUUGUAUCACUUAUGAAAUCAGCCUUGUUUCGUAUAGUUGCUCUGCAAAUAACUAUUUAGUUCGAUGACCUUUGCAUGUCUGCCAGAAAAAAUAAACCAGAAUUUUUAUUAAAAAUAUUGACGUGAAAACUUUUUUUUGCGAAUGACAGUUGGAUAAAGACCGAAAAUAAAUUUAUUUCUAAACCAUAUAAUAGAAAAUUUGUCCAAAA